CACGUAGGCGCAAGCGUUGUCCGGAAUUAUUGGGCGUAAAGAGCUCGUAGGCGGUCUGUUGCGUCUGCUGUGAAAACUCGGGGCUUAACCCCGAGCCUGCAGUGGAUACGGGCAGACUAGAGGUAGGUAGGGGAGAAUGGAAUUCCCGGUGUAGCGGUGAAAUGCGCAGAUAUCGGGAGGAACACCGGUGGCGAAGGCGGUUCUCUGGGCCUUACCUGACGCUGAGGAGCGAAGCGUGGGGAGCGAACAGG
rnacentral:rRNA from 1 species